GGCAUUGCCUCAGCCAAGACCUACUAUCGGGAUGAACACAUCUACCCCUACAUGUACCUGGCUGGCUACCACUGUCGCAACCGCAAUGUGCGGGAAGCCCUGCAGGCCUGGGCGGACACGGCCACUGUCAUCCAGGAGUGAGGAUCCCCCUACUAGGGCCUGCAGCCUGUCCUUUCUUCCCCUCCAUCAGUUUCCAACCACCUUCGUCCAGGACUGAGGCCUGGCUCCCACGCCCCAUCCCCUUUCCAUCCAGUCCCUAGGCAGCAAGGCCACCAUUACCCAGGAGGUAGGGACCCUGAUUAAGGUGUCACAUCUUUCCCUCCCUCCCCUCUCCUCCUAAUUUUUUUUUUCUCAGAACAGUCUCAAAUCUCCAAUGUUUAACCACCAUCAUCCAGCAGUGGGACUUCCACCCUCGGCCCCAUGCCCCCUCCUCAUUCUUGCUUUCUUGCUCUGGGCUGACCCAGACAGCAUCAUUUUGCAGUGAGGACCCCACCUACUCCCCCAGCCCCUGGGGGCUCCAUCCCCCGCCAGGUCCCUGGGGCUACCCCCGAUGGUGAGACCCCUUCAGACCCUACAGAGACCCCACUGCUCUCACAGCUACAACUACUGCCGGGAAGACGAGGAGAUCUACAAGGAGUUCUUUGAAGUAGCCAAUGAUGUCAUCCCCAACCUGCUGAAGGAGGCAGCCAGCUUGCUGGAGGCGGGCGAGGAGCGGCCGGGGGAGCAAAGCCAGGGCAUCCAGAGCCAAGGUUCCGCCCUCCAGGACCCUGAGUGCUUCGCCCACCUGCUGCGAUUCUACGACGGCAUCUGCAAAUGGGAGGAGGGCAGUCCCACGCCUGUGCUGCACGUGGGCUGGGCCACCUUUCUUGUGCAGUCCCUAGGCCGUUUUGAGGGACAGGUGCGGCAGAAGGUGCGCAUAGUGAGCCGAGAGGCCGAGGCGGCCGAGGCCGAGGAGCCGUGGGGCGAGGACGCCCGGGAAGGCCGGCGGCGGGGCCCACGGCGGGAGUCCAAGCCAGAGGAGCCCCCGCCGCCCAAGAAGCCAGCACUGGACAAGGGCCUGGGCACCGGCCAGGGUGCAGUGUCAGGACCCCCCCGGAAGCCUCCUGGGACGGUCGCUGGCACAGCCCGAGGCCCUGAAGGUGGCAGCACGGCUCAGGUGCCAGCGCCCGCAGCAUCACCACCACCGGAGGGUCCAGUGCUCACUUUCCAGAGUGAGAAGAUGAAGGGCAUGAAGGAGCUGCUGGUGGCCACCAAGAUCAACUCGAGCGCCAUCAAGCUGCAACUCACGGCACAGUCGCAAGUGCAGAUGAAGAAGCAGAAAGUGUCCACCCCUAGUGACU
rnacentral:sRNA from 1 species